AAGUCAUGCAAACGGGUAUGCAUACCCGACUUUAUUCCUUUAUAAAAGAAGUUUACAACCCAUAGGGCACUACUUGGCUGGUUCAGGCCAUCGCCCAUUGACCAAUAUUCCUC
rnacentral:rRNA from 1 species